rnacentral:lncRNA from 1 species
GCGGAACAAGGAUCCCAUCUUGCACGUGCUGCGGCAGUACCUGGAUCCGGCCCAGCGUGGCGUCCGCGUCCUCGAGGUGGCCUCGGGCUCCGGCCAGCACGCAGCGCACUUCGCGCGGGCCUUCCCCCUGGCCGAGUGGCAGCCGUCGGACGUGGACCAGCGCUGCCUGGACAGCAUCGCGGCCACCACGCAAGCCCAGGGCCUGACCAACGUGAAGGCCCCGCUACACCUGGACGUGACGUGGGGCUGGGAGCACUGGGGCGGGAUCCUGCCACAGUCGCUGGACCUGUUGCUCUGCAUCAACAUGGCCCAUGUCAGCCCCCUGCGCUGCACGGAGGGGCUCUUCAGAGCAGCAGGACACCUGCUCAAACCCAGGGCCCUGCUCAUCACCUACGGGGUGAGUGGGCCUGUCCACGGCGGGCCUCCCGCUCCCAGUCCUAGCUGCUGUCUCCUGCCCUGCUGAGAGUCCUCCCUCCUGGGCUCCCUGCCCCCCGCCCAGCCACCAGCACGGCCUCCCCUCCACUUCCAGUCUGUACCCCUCCCUGGGUCAUCUGCCAGCCUCCCUACCCCCUUGCCCACCAGGCUGGCCUUGGCUGACUCCCUCUUGGGGACAGGGAGGGGGUGCCCUUUCAUUCUCCAAACCCCAGCCUGCAAGUCUGUCCCAGGCUCUCUGGGAAAUACCCCGACCUUGGUCCAGUGGGCUGUGUCCCCAUGCCCACAGCCCUAUGCCAUCAAUGGGAAGAUCUCCCCCCAGAGCAACGUGGACUUUGACCUGAUGCUCAGAUGCAGGAACCCAGAAUGGGGGCUUCGGGACACAGCCCUCCUGGAGGACCUGGGAAAGGCCAGUGGCCUGCUCCUGGAGAGGAUGGUGGACAUGCCAGCCAACAACAAAUGCCUGAUCUUCCGGAAAAACUAAGCCCCUCCUUCACCCCCGCACACCUGCAUCCCUGCCGGAGGCUCUGUGAGGCACGAACCCUGCCUCCCUAGGCCGGACCUUGUGGACGACAGCCC